rnacentral:rRNA from 1 species
UACGUAGGGUGCAAGCGUUAAUCGGAAUUACUGGGCGUAAAGCGUGCGCAGGCGGUUUUGUAAGUCAGAUGUGAAAUCCCCGGGCUCAACCUGGGAACUGCAUUUGUGACUGCAUAGCUAGAGUACGGUAGAGGGGGAUGGAAUUCCGCGUGUAGCAGUGAAAUGCGUAGAGAUGCGGAGGAACACCGAUGGCGAAGGCAGCCCCCUGGGCUGGCACUGACGCUCAGGCACGAAAGCGUGGGGAGCAAACAGG